GAAUGCAUUCAUUUUCAACUGCAGGAGAAAGAAUAACUCCAGAGAACUACAACGUUAUGCUGAGCCAAAUUAGCAGUGAAAUUGAAGAGCAGGAUAAAAUGACUGACAUGCAAGGGUUCAGCCCCCACAGAUCCUCUCUGAGAAGAUACACUGGAGUGUUUCUAGCAAGAAGAAAAGCGACCCUAAGAAAGUGAUCAAGUCACAGGAAGGUGGUACCUUGCAUCCUAUGGGGACAGAGACUGAAUACUUCAGUUUCAAAACAGGACGAGGUUCAUGUGACAGAAGGAAGCGCCCAUGAAUCAGCUGUCCAGACUCCUUUUAGGUGAACCGGAACCCCCACAGCCACAGUCUCUCAAGUGGAGAUUUUAAAGCAGUACCGUCCAAGCGCUCAGACAGGAUGCUCUUCAACCACGGAAUUCUCGGGUGACCUUUCCGUAGGAAUCACAUGCAAAUGUCCCAGUGGAAGGUCGCGAUUGGUCUUCAAAGGUCAUCUCCAUUCGUCUAGACGGUUGUCUUCACAAAAGAAGGAAG